rnacentral:rRNA from 1 species
AAAACAUGUCUUUUUGAAAAUAAUAUAAAGUCUAAUCUGCCCACUGAUUAUAAAUUAAAGGGCUGCAGUAUUUUGACUGUACAAAGGUAGCAUAAUCAUUAGUCAUUUAAUUGAUGACUUGUAUGAAAGAUUGGAUGAAAUAUAGACUGUUUCUUAAUUAAUUAUAAAAUUUAAUUUUUUUAUUAAAAAGUUAAAAUAAAUUAAAAAGACGAGAAGACCCUAUAGAGUUUUAUAAAUAAAAAAAUUAAUAUUAUUUAUAAUUAUUAAAGUUAAAAUUUUAUUAUUUAUUUUGUUGGGGUGACAAAAAAAUUUAUAUAACUUUUUUUUUUUAGAAACAUUAAUAAGUGAAUAAAUGAUCCAAUAAUAUUGAUUAAAAGAAAAAAUUACCUUAGGGAUAACAGCGUAAUUUUUUUUUUUAGUUCAAAUAAGAAAAAGAGUUUGCGACCUCGAUGUUGGAUUAAGAUAAAAUUUAAAUGCAGAAGUU